rnacentral:misc_RNA from 1 species
UCCGGCUUAACGCCGGCGGUCUCUCUAGAGUGCCCAACUUAAUGAUGGCAACAAGAGACGUGGGUUGCGCUCGUUACGGGACUUAACCCAACAUCUCACGACACGAGCUGACGACAGCCAUGCAGCACCUGUCUCUCUGUCCCUUGCGGGAAAACCGACUUUCGCCGGCGAUCAGAGGAUGUCAAGGCUAGGAUAAGGUUCUUCGCGUUGCGUCGAAUUGAACCACAUGCUCCACUGCUUGUGCGGGUCCCCGUCAAUUUCUUUGAGUUUUAAUCUUGCGACCGUACUCCCCAGGCGGGAUGCUUAACGCGUUAGCUUCGUCACUGAAAGGGUUUUUCCUCCAACGACAAGCACCCAUCGUUUACGGCGUGGACUAC